AUACGGAGGGUGCAAGCGUUAUUCGGAAUCACUGGGCGUAAAGGACGCGUAGGCGGGUUGGCAAGUCAGAUGUGAAAUCCUACAGCUUAACUGUAGAACUGCAUUUGAAACUGCUAACCUAGAGUAUGGGAGGGGGAGAUGGAAUUAGUGGUGUAGGGGUAAAAUCCGUAGAUAUCACUAGGAAUACCUAAAGCGAAGGCGAUCUCCUGGAACAUUACUGACGCUAAGGCGUGAAAGCGUGGGGAGCAAACGGGAUUAGAAACCCUUGUAGUCC
rnacentral:rRNA from 1 species